GAAAAGUACAAGUCAGGAUGAAGCCAUCACUAAAUCUUCAGCCUACUUCAUAGCUAAGGAGAUGAUGCCCUUUAGACGUGUAGAGAGGCCAGGAUUUAAAGCACUGAUGAAAACAGUUGCUCCAAAAUACAAAAUCCCAAGAAGACAACAAUUUUCUGAAAAAAGAAAUCCCAAGCAUGUAUCUCUUUGGCUGAAGCCGAAAAUUUUGCAUUUACAACUGAUCUCUGGACCAGUAAUACGGACACCGCUAUAUAAGCUUAACAGUUCACUUCAUCACACCAGUAUGGGAAAUGAAAGCUGUAUGUCUAGAAACGUCUUUUUUACCUGAUGACCACACAAGUGAAAACAUUAAACAGACAUUUUUGAUUGUUUGCCCUGCCCUGAUCAGUUUCACCUGUGUCUCGUUAUCUCCCCUCACCUAGUGUAUUUAAGUCUGUGUGCAUUCUUUGUCAGAUCAUCAUUGUCUCUAUGUCAAGCGACUCGGCCUUUGUGCCAUGUGUUCCCGCCACUGUGUUUUGGAAUACUUCUCAGUUUUGUUUGGACCUUGCCUGUAUCGUUGGACUCUGUUUGAUGUUUGCUCCCCUUGGACUGGUUUGGCUUUGUUGGACUGUUCUUGUUUUGUUUUUUUACUACUGCCUGCCUCUCCACGCUGUAAGCCUUUUGUCUUUAUUAAAUGGUUGAAGCUGCACCUAUUCUACUUGUGCGUCUGCAUUUGGGUUCUAUUACUGCCUUCCUGGUUCUCUGGCUUGACUAACAAUACAACAGCUGCAUUCAAAUCCCUCCUACCAUCAACCUGGCUCAGCUGCUUUAGACAUUUAAAUCUUGCACUUGGAAAGGUCUUGAAGACUGACCAAGUGGAUGCUGCUGUGAGGGCUUGCUGAAGUAUCAUCCAAGGAUUUAACCACUCAUGGAAGAGAAGGAGGGAGCUGGCAAAAAACAAGCAGAACUAAAUCUCUCAACAUAUCUUGAUCUAAGACAUUAUGAUUAGAUGGGGGUCCACAUGACAUGAUUUCCAGACACACACUUCCUGCACACUGUUCAGCAAACCUGUUGUGUUGAUUAAGAAUUAGAAUUUUUUUCUAAUUUAAUGUUUGCAGGAUUGUUGAACAGCACAUUGCAGUGGCAGCUACACAUGACAGAAGUACCAGGCACCUUGUGCUGAGGAGGUCGUACAUCUUGACUCACAUGUAAGGUGCUGAAGCCACUCAGAACUCUCUGAUACCCUGGGUGCAGGGACCUAUAGCUCAAGCUCUUCCCUAAGACCUGUCCUUCAGCAUCUGACUGAAUCCAUCCUGGCAGAAGAGGAUGACGACAGCAGACUGGUGAGGAGCAUGAAACGUGCCAUCCACAAGCUCUUUCAAUCGUGGUAUGAAGCUUCGGAUAUGGUUACAGGGCAAAUCAUCCCAGAACACACAGACCUUAAAAAGUGUGUUUUCUUUGAGAGCUGAUUUUCAAGGCAUAAAAGGACAUCUAAAAGCCUCUUUUCAAAGCUUGGAUAAAGUCAAUGGUGGCAGCAUAUACCUGGCAAGACAAGGGCCUUGUAUGCAGUUCGAAAACCCCAUUACCAAGUCAAAAUCUCCUUUAAUACCUCCAAUAUGAAUGAAGUCCUGGGGGAAGUUAACAAGACUGCACCCCAGGUAGAAGCAGGCGCUUUAUGGAUGGGCUGACAAUCCGAACUGAUCAAAGACAAGAGGAGAGCAAACAAGAUGUUUACAGCAGAGAAAGGCUGACUGGCUUUAUUGCAUGAGAACAGCUCAGCAUGAACACUUGUGCAUAUGAUGUACAUAACAAUGUAGUAAUUACAACUUGUACUGAAUUUACAUGAAGAAUCAAUUUCUCUUUUUCUUUUUUUUAAUGCGACACAGGCCUCCAGUAUUUAUUCUAACAAUACACAGAUGGCUGUACACUAACAUUUAUAAACACAUGAAAAUUAUGUUGAUGCUGAGUGCUAUUCAA